CCUACGGGAGGCAGCAGUGGGGAAUAUUGGACAAUGGGGGCAACCCUGAUCCAGCCAUGCCGCGUGUGUGAAGAAGGCCCUCGGGUUGUAAAGCACUUUCAGUGAGGAAGAACGCCUGGUGGUUAAUACCCAUCAGGAAAGACAUCACUCACAGAAGAAGCACCGGCUAACUCCGGGCCAGCAGCCGCGGUAAUACGGAGGGUGCGAGCGUUAAUCGGGAUUACUGGGCGUAAAGCGCGCGUAGGUGGCUUGAUAAGCCGGUUGUGAAAGCCCCGGGCUCAACCUGGGAACGGCAUCCGGAACUGUCAAGCUAGAGUGCAGGAGAGGAAGGUAGAAUUCCCGGUGUAGCGGUGAAAUGCGUAGAGAUCGGGAGGAAUACCAGUGGCGAAGGCGGCCUUCUGGACUGACACUGACACUGAGGUGCGAAAGCGUGGGUAGCAAACAGGAUUAGAUACCCGUGUAGUC
rnacentral:rRNA from 1 species